rnacentral:miRNA from 1 species
UAUUGGCGAGGUUCAAUCAGA